GAUGAACGCUGGCGGCGUGCCUAAUACAUGCAAGUCGAGCGAACAGACGAGGAGCUUGCUCCUCUGACGUUAGCGGCAGACGGGUGAGUAACACGUGGAUAACCUACCUAUAAGACUGGGAUAACUUCGGGAAACCGGAGCUAAUACCAGAUAAUAUAUUGAACCGCAUGGUUCAAUAGUGAAAGACGGUUUUGCUGUCACUUAUAGAUGGAUCCGCGCCGCAUUAGCUAGUUGGUAAGGUAACGGCUUACCAAGGCAACGAUGCGUAGCCGACCUGAGAGGGUGAUCGGCCACACUGGAACUGAGACACGGUCCAGACUCCUACGGGAGGCAGCAGUAGGGAAUCUUCCGCAAUGGGCGAAAGCCUGACGGAGCAACGCCGCGUGAGUGAUGAAGGUCUUCGGAUCGUAAAACUCUGUUAUUAGGGAAGAACAAAUGUGUAAGUAACUAUGCACGUCUUGACGGUACCUAAUCAGAAAGCCACGGCUAACUACGUG
rnacentral:rRNA from 1 species